rnacentral:rRNA from 1 species
AGUCGAGGGGCAGCGGGGUAGUGCUUGCACUACUGCCGGCGACCGGCGCACGGGUGAGUAACACGUAUGGAACCUGCCCGCAGCAGGGGGAUAAGCGGAAGAAAUUCCGUCUAAUACCGCGUAACAACGUUGGGAGGCAUCUCCCGAUGUUUAAAGAUUUAUCGGCUGCGGAUGGCCAUGCGGCGCAUUAGCUAGUCGGCGGGGUAACGGCCCACCGAGGCGACGAUGCGUAGGGGUUCUGAGAGGAAGGUCCCCCACACUGGUACUGAGACACGGACCAGACUCCUACGGGAGGCAGCAGUGAGGAAUAUUGGUCAAUGGCCGAGAGGCUGAACCAGCCAAGUCGCGUGAGGGAAGACGGCCCUACGGGUUGUAAACCUCUUUUGUCGGGGAGCAAAGAGAGCCACGUGUGGCUCAUUGAGAGUACCCGAAGAAAAAGCAUCGGCUAACUCCGUGCCAGCAGCCGCGGUAAUACGGAGGAUGCGAGCGUUAUCCGGAUUUAUUGGGUUUAAAGGGUGCGCAGGCGGAGGUGCAAGUCAGCGGUCAAAUUGCGGGGCUCAACCCCGUACUGCCGUUGAAACUGCAUCCCUUGAGUGCGCGAGAAGUAUGCGGAAUGCGUGGUGUAGCGGUGAAAUGCAUAGAUAUCACGCAGAACUCCGAUUGCGAAGGCAGCAUACCGGCGCGCAACUGACGCUCAUGCACGAAAGC